rnacentral:lncRNA from 1 species
AAUUUCACACUUUCUCACUUUAAAUACCCUCUGAUUUAAAGUGCAUCAAGUUAGCCCUGUGGUUUUGCACUUUCUCACUUUAGUACUCUGUGGUUUAAAGUGUAUCAAAUUAGUACCCUGUGGUUUUAUUUUUCUCUUUUUAUUAUCUAUUUCACUAAUUUUUUUCUUAAAUCAGUGACAAAAUUAAAAUUAAGGAGUACUAAAGUGAAUAUUCGAUAAACCUAGGUAGGGUAUCUGAAGUUUUUUUUGUAUAUAAUUUAACGAAAUAUUAACAGAGAAAAAAAAAUCAGUGAUAAAGUUAAAACUAAAGGGUACUAAAGUAAAAUAUUCGAUAAACCUAGAUAGAGUAUCUGAAAUUUUUUGUAUAUAAUUUAACAAAAUAUUAACAGAGGAGCCGACAAAAAGAAAAAAAUGAAACCACAGGGUACUAAAUUGAUACACUUUAAACCACAUGAUAAUAAAGUGAGAAAGUGCGAAAUUAUAGAGUACUAAAUUGAUAGACUUUAAACUAUAUGGUACUAAAGUGAAAAAGUGCAAAAUCAUAUGAGUGGUAUUUAAAGUUUUCUCUAUUAUUUAAUAAGAAAAUAAAAAUUU